GGAGUUGGCUGGAUGAUCGCCGGUAGAUCUCUUCGCAAUUUAUGGGAGAGUAACUGCGGGAGGAAAGUCCGAACACCAUAGAGUGAGGAUGCUUCGUAACGCGAAGUCCUGGUGACAGGCAGGCAAGUGCCACAGAAAACAGACCGCCCUUGGUUAUUUUAAGGGUAAGGGUGAAACGGUGAGGUAAGAGCUCACCAGUGUCGGUGGUGACAUCGGCAGCUUGGUAAACCCCAUCCGGUGCAAGGCCAAAUAGGUUUCGUUUCUCUCUUUAACGGGGAGAUAAGACGGCUCGUCUUAAGGGUUCUGUCGGCAACGGCAGGUUCGGCGAAACGGGUAGGCCGCUUGAGAUUGCGGGUGACUGUAAUCCUAGAUGAAUGAUCAUUGCUUUCACUGGUAAAAGUGAAAACACAGAAUUCGGCUUACAGGCCAACUCCGGUA
rnacentral:RNase_P_RNA from 1 species